rnacentral:SRP_RNA from 1 species
UUACGCGACGGGAAUCUGUGAACCGUGUCAGGUCGGGAACGAAGCAGCACUAAGCAGAACCUUCCGGGUGCCGUAAGGGUGCCUGGGCUGAGUUAACUGUCAAGGUAACGUCUGUGAAUCUACGUUCGAAGCGCAAUG